GACGAACGCUGGCGGCGUGCUUAACACAUGCAAGUCGAACGGUGAAGGUGGGAGCUUGCUCCUGCUGGAUCAGUGGCGAACGGGUGAGUAACACGUGAGUAACCUGCCCUUGACUCUGGGAUAAGCGUUGGAAACGACGUCUAAUACCGGAUACGAGCUUCAGCCGCAUGGCUAGGAGUUGGAAAGAUUUUUCGGUCAGGGAUGGACUCGCGGCCUAUCAGCUUGUUGGUGAGGUAAUGGCUCACCAAGGCGACGACGGGUAGCCGGCCUGCGAGGGUGACCGGCCACACUGGGACUGAGACACGGCCCAGGCUCCUACGGGGGGCAGCAGUGAGGGAUUUUCGGCAAUGGGCGAAAGCCUGACCGAGCGACGCCGCGUGAGCGAAGAAGGCCUUCGGGUCGUAAAGCUCUGUCUAGGGGGAAGAGAUAGGACGGUACCCCUGGAGGAAGCCACGGCUAACUACGUGCCAGCAGCCGCAGUAAUAC
rnacentral:rRNA from 1 species